rnacentral:rRNA from 1 species
AGGACGAACGCUGGCGGCGUGCUUAACACAUGCAAGUGGAGCGACGAACCAGGGCUUGCCCUGGGGCAGAGCCGCGAACGGGUGAGUAACACGUGGGUUACCUGCCUCGAUGACCGGGACAACCCGAGGAAACUCGGGCUAAUACCGGAUGUGCCCGCAAGGGGAAAGGAAGCUUCGGCCUCCGCAUCGAGAUGGGCCCGCGGCCCAUUAGCUUGUUGGUGAGGUAACGGCUCACCAAGGCUUCGAUGGGUAGCUGGUCUGAGAGGACGAUCAGCCACACUGGGACUGAGACACGGCCCAGACUCCUACGGGAGGCAGCAGUGGGGAAUCUUGCGCAAUGCGCGAAAGCGUGACGCAGCAACGCCGCGUGGGGGAAGAAGGCUUUCGGGUUGUAAACCCCUUUCAGUUGGGACGAAGCUUCGUCGGUGAAUAGCCGGCCGGAGUGACGGUACCUUCACAAGAAGCACCGGCUAACUACGCGCCAGCAGCCGCGGU